rnacentral:miRNA from 1 species
GGAGCUCCGCGAGGCGUCAGG